rnacentral:rRNA from 1 species
UGGGGAAUAUUGCACAAUGGGCGCAAGCCUGAUGCAGCCAUGCCGCGUGUAUGAAGAAGGCCUUCGGGUUGUAAAGUACUUUCAGCGGGGAGGAAGGGAGUAAAGUUAAUACCUUUGCUCAUUGACGUUACCCGCAGAAGAAGCACCGGCUAACUCCGUGCCAGCAGCCGCGGUAAUACGGAGGGUGCAAGCGUUAAUCGGAAUUACUGGGCGUAAAGCGCACGCAGGCGGUUUGUUAAGUCAGAUGUGAAAUCCCCGGGCUCAACCUGGGAACUGCAUCUGAUACUGGCAAGUUUGAGGCUCGUAGAGAGGGGUAGAAUUCCAGGGGUAGCGGUGAAAUGCGUAGAGAUCUGGAGGAAUACCGGUGGCGAAGGCGGCCCCCUGGACGAAGACUGACGCUCAGGUGCGAAAGCGUGGGGAGCAAACAGG